rnacentral:rRNA from 1 species
UACGAAGGGGGCGAGCGUUGUUCGGAUUUACUGGGCGUAAAGGGCGCGCAGGCGGCUUUGUUUGUCAGGCGUGAAAGCCCCGGGCUUAACCUGGGAACUGCGUUUGAUACGGCAGGGCUAGAGUUCGGGAGAGGAGAGUGGAAUUCCCAGUGUAGAGGUGAAAUUCGUAGAUAUUGGGAAGAACACCGGUGGCGAAGGCGGGUCUCUGGGCAGUAACUGACGCUGAGGAGCGAAAGCGUGGGGAGCGAACAGG